rnacentral:lncRNA from 1 species
UUAAAGCAGCCCUGGCCCUCCCACAAGCAGGCCUUAUUCAUCUAGGAAGGGGAGGUUCCCUGUGGAGGUACUGUGACAGGGAGGAAGCGGGGGACUAGAUCAUCCAUCCUCUUCUGAAUUUUCCAUGAAGUCUGAAAUGUUGCCUUUGGCCCCACAAGAGUUUCCCUUGCCAUUCUUGCUGUGAUGUAUGAACUGCUUAGGCUAAGCAUGAUUUAUUUUCCUGUUUCUGAUACAUGGAAGC